rnacentral:sRNA from 1 species
AUGGUCUGAGGUGGGAGAAGAGCUGAAGAGACCUGGAGCCGACAGACGGGUGAAGGCCAUGCCGCCUCCUGGGAAAGUUCCCCGAAAGGAGAAUCUGUGGCUACAGUGUGAGUGGGGGUCCUGCUCCUUUGUGUGCUCAACCAUGGAAAAGUUCUUUGAGCAUGUCACUCAGCACCUGCAGCAGCACCUGCAUGGCUCUGGGGAGGAGGAGGAAGAGGAAGAGGAGGAUGACCCACUUGAGGAAGAAUUCUCCUGCUUGUGGCAGGAAUGUGGCUUUUGUUCUCUGGACAGUUCUGCUGACCUCAUCCGCCAUGUCUACUUCCACUGCUACCACACCAAGCUGAAACAGUGGGGGCUGCAGGCCUUGCAAAGCCAGGCUGACCUUGGCCCCUGCAUCCUGGACUUCCAGAGCCGGAACGUCAUCCCUGAUAUCCCUGACCACUUCCUGUGUCUGUGGGAGCACUGUGAGGUCAGCAGGCAGUGCCAGUAAUUGGGGUGGAAGGAAGCUGGGGGUCUUAACUCUGAUGCCUUGUCCAUUUCAGGGAUGCCUUAUAUUUCCAAGAUUCCUGCUAGUAUCUCUCUUCCAUUUCUUUUGCUCUUUUAAAAUUUGUUUAUUUUUUACACACAGGCUCUUGAUCUGAAGCCCAGGCUAGAGUGCAGUGGUACAAUCAUAGCUCACUGUAACCUUGAACUCCUGGGCUCAAGCAAUCCUCCCACCUCAGCCUCCCAAGUAGCUAGGACUACAGGCAUGUACCACCAUGCCCUGCUAACUUCUAAAUUUUUUGUAGAGACAAGGUCUGGGUAUGUUGCCCAGGCUGGUCUCGAACUCUUGGCCUCAAGUGAUUCUCCUGCCUCAGCCUCUCAAAGUGCUGGGAUUACAGGGUUUAGCAACCGCACCCGGCCACUCCUCCAUUUCUGUGCAGUGCCUUUCCUCAAAAUUUCCCAUCCCCAUCAAGUUAAUUUGGGAGAGAGCCAAGAAUUCUUUGGGCACAUAGGGGUGAGUCCCUCUACCCACCCUCAGUCCUCACCCCAAGUUGCCCCUGGCACAGAA